UCUGGUAGUUAUGGCGAGAAGGUCACACCCGUUCCCAUCCCGAACACGGUAGUUAAGCUUCUCUGCGCCAAUGGUAGUUGGGGGCUUCCCCCA
rnacentral:rRNA from 1 species